ensembl:lncRNA
CCACAUUGUAACAUCGUGUAGAGCACUCAGAGUUAAAGAGUUAAUACUCCAGUUCCACGGAUCGUCGAUAGUUCCGGAUAUGCCUGUCUCAGAAGGGAAGAAGAACUACAUACCCCGGAGGACUUUGUGUUUCCAUUUUCUGCUCAGAGAGAAAGAUAAAUUCUGUCUGCAGAUUUAUCCUGUAAUAAGUGUAGAUCAAAGAAAUGAGACCAUGCUGUGUAUUAAGGAAAUUGAAUGAAAAUUGAAAUCGUUACAGAAGAUCUUACAGGAUAAAGAGAGAAGUAGUGUGACUGAACGAGUGCAGGGAAAUCAUCAACACUUCUGAGUAAAAGUAAAUAUUGAAAUGCUGCAAUUUUCUUUAGAAGAGCCAGUCAAAUAUUUACUGUUGUAUAUAGCGCCCUGUUUUCCAUUACUUGCCAG